GUAGCGGCGAGCGAAACGGAAAGAGCCCAAACCAAGAAGCUUGCUUCUUGGGGUUGUAGGACACUCUAUACGGAGUUACAAAAGAAAGUUAUAAAUGAAGCGGUCUGGAAAGGCCCGCCAAAGACGGUAACAGCCCGGUAGUUGAAAUGGCUUUCCCUCCAGAGUGGAUCCUGAGUACGGCGGAACACGUGAAAUUCCGUCGGAAUCCGGGAGGACCAUCUCCCAAGGCUAAAUACUCCCUAGUGACCGAUAGUGAACCAGUACCGUGAGGGAAAGGUGAAAAGCACCCCGGAAGGGGAGUGAAACAGUUCCUGAAACCGUGUGCCUACAAGUAGUUAGAGCCCGUUAAUGGGUGAUAGCGUGCCUUUUGUAGAAUGAACCGGCGAGUUACGAUUUGUUGCAAGGUUAAGCGGAAAAAGCGGAGCCGUAGCGAAAGCGAGUCUGAAUAGGGCGCAUAAGUAACAGGUCGUAGACCCGAAACCAGGUGAUCUACCCAUGUCCAGGAUGAAGGUAAGGUAAUACUUACUGGAGGUCCGAACCCACGCACGUUGAAAAGUGCGGGGAUGAGGUGUGGGUAGCGGAGAAAUUCCAAUCGAACUUGGAGAUAGCUGGUUCUCUCCGAAAUAGCUUUAGGGCUAGCCUCGAGGUAAAGAGUCAUGGAGGUAGAGCACUGUUUGGACUAGGGGCCCUUCUCGGGUUACCGAAUUCAGAUAAACUCCGAAUGCCAUGUACUUAUACUCGGGAGUCAGACUGCGAGUGAUAAGAUCCGUAGUCGAAAGGGAAACAGCCCAGACCACCAGUUAAGGUCCCCAAAUAUAUGUUAAGUGGAAAAGGAUGUGGGGUUGCUUAGACAACCAGGAUGUUGGCUUAGAAGCAGCCACCAUUGAAAGAGUGCGUAAUAGCUCACUGGUCGAGUGACCCCGCGCCGAAAAUGUACCGGGGCUAAACAUAUUACCGAAACUGUGGAUGAACCUCUUUAGAGGUUCGUGGUAGGAGAGCGUUCUAAGGGCGGUGAAGUCAGACCGGAAGGACUGGUGGAGCGCUUAGAAGUGAGAAUGCCGGUAUGAGUAGCGAAAGAAGGGUGAGAAUCCCUUCCACCGAAUAUCUAAGGUUUCCUGAGGAAGGCUCGUCCGCUCAGGGUUAGUCGGGACCUAAGCCGAGGCCGAUAGGCGUAGGCGAUGGACAACAGGUAGAGAUUCCUGUACCAGUGCUAAUUGUUUAACCGAUGGGGUGACACAGAAGGAUAGGGAAUCGCACGAAUGGAAAUGUGCGUCCAAGCAGUGAGUGUGAGAAGUAGGCAAAUCCGCUUCUCGCGAAGCAUGAGCUGUGAUGGGGAAGGAAAUUAAGUACGGAAGUUCCUGAUUUCACGCUGUCAAGAAAAGCCUCUAGGAAGAGUAGUACUGCCCGUACCGCAAACCGACACAGGUAGAUGAGGAGAGAAUCCUAAGGUGAGCGAGAGAACUCUCGUUAAGGAACUCGGCAAAAUGACCCCGUAACUUCGGGAGAAGGGGUGCUCUAUUAGGGUGCAAGCCCGAGAGAGCCGCAGUGAAUAGGCCCAGGCGACUGUUUAGCAAAAACACAGGUCUCUGCAAAACCGUAAGGUGACGUAUAGGGGCUGACGCCUGCCCGGUGCUGGAAGGUUAAGAGGAGUGCUUAGCUUCG
rnacentral:rRNA from 1 species